UGGCGGCAUGCCUUACACAUGCAAGUCGAGCGGCAGCGCGGGGGCAACCCUGGCGGCGAGCGGCGAACGGGUGAGUAAUACAUCGGAACGUGUCCUGUCGUGGGGGAUAACCAGUCGAAAGACUGGCUAAUACCGCAUGAGAUCGAAAGAUGAAAGCGGGGGACCGCAAGGCCUCGCGCGAUUGGAGCGGCCGAUGUCGGAUUAGCUAGUUGGCGGGGUAAAAGCCCACCAAGGCGACGAUCCGUAUCUGGUUUGAGAGAACGACCAGCCACACUGGGACUGAGACACGGCCCAGACUCCUACGGGAGGCAGCAGUGGGGAAUUUUGGACAAUGGGGGCAACCCUGAUCCAGCCAUGCCGCGUGUGUGAAGAAGGCCUUCGGGUUGUAAAGCACUUUCGGCCGGAACGAAAUCGCGCGGGCUAUUACCCCGCGUGGAUGACGGUACCGGAAGAAGAAGCACCGGCUAACUAC
rnacentral:rRNA from 1 species